ensembl:lncRNA
UGUGAUGUUUAAAUGAGCUGCAGUCCUUUUUUUAAAUGUAGGAGCGAGAGUGUGCUUUUUGUUAAGAUUAAAAACAUUUCCAUGACCUUGAAUGCUCAUUGCUGACAAAUAAAAUCCAUGGAGGAGAGUUUGCCAGGUGCGUAAUGUGCACUGCAUAGAGUGAAUGCUGCAGAGGAAGUGCCCCUUUAUGGCUAAUCUGAGAAUGGGUGUUUGCAGCACCUUGUUUGGGGACUCUGUUUCUGUUUUUCAGCAUGAAAAGGGCAGGGAAAACAAAAGGGCAGCAGUGGCCGCCCACUUCUUUCUGUACACCUAUAUACAUCAGAAUCAGUCUGAAUCAAAUCACAGCAUGAGCUGUGCUCAGAUGGAGGUGUUUAGUCAGUAAUGUUAGAUUUGAAUGCUUUAGGAAAAUGCACUGCGUUUUCUGGUCUUACCGACCACUCAAAAUGCUUCAGACUAGAAGUCACAAUUUACCAUGCAUUCAUACAGGUGUUGCACUUUAAGCUCUUCGUUUGCUUCUCAUCCACAGCCAAUUCAGUAUCACUAAAUAACCUAUCAUGCAUGUUUUGUUUGGACUGUGGGAGAAAGCUGAAGUACCCAGAGGAAACUCACGUAAGCACAGGGAGAGCAUUCAAACUCUGCACCGAACCACUGAACAACUGGACCGCCCUGUCUUAUAGAAAGUGUUCUUCCAUUUACUAUGUUCAGAAAACAGCUUCUGACAAUCACUCUCAGGCCGACGCCAUCUGCUGGGACUCAGUGAGAGCUCCGAUAAUCAGAAAGAAAAAGCAAACACAAUUCUGGCCAUGGCCACCACAGCCUCGGUCUGCGUGCCUUUCCUGCUGAUCCUCCAGGGUCUUCCCACAGUUCAAAGACUGAUUUCUGCAGAUUCGUGUUAAAUGAACGGGAAACCACUGUGGCUGUGAAUGUGAUUAUCUACCAAGAGACAUUUAAUUUUAGGGCAAAAUGACAAAUUAUAAUCUUAUCUCUGCGUGAAAAACCACUGUCUGCUCAUUUACUUGAAUGGGGCCAAUCCAGUCAGCAAGACACAGCAGCAGCCAAUCAAAUACAUGCUUUCCUGCUCAAUUAUUUU